rnacentral:rRNA from 1 species
GUAGGUGGCAAGCGUUGUCCGGAAUUAUUGGGCGUAAAGCGCGCGCAGGCGGUUCUUUAAGUCUGAUGUGAAAGCCCACGGGCUCAACCGUGGAGGGUCAUUGGAAACUGGAGAACUCGAGUACAGAAGAGGAAAGCGGAAUUCCACGUGUAGCGGUGAAAUGCGUAGAGAUGUGGAGGAACACCAGUGGCGAAGGCGGCUUUCUGGUCUGUAACUGACGCUGAGGCGCGAAAGCGUGGGGAGCAAACAGGAUUAGAUACCCUGGUAGUCCACGCCGUAAACGAUGAGUGCUAAGUGUUAGGGGGUUUCCGCCCCUUAGUGCUGCAGCUAACGCAUUAAGCACUCCGCCUGGGGAGUACGGCCGCAAGGCUG